AUACGGAGGAUCCGAGCGUUAUCCGGAUUUAUUGGGUUUAAAGGGUGCGCAGGCGGGAGAUUAAGUCGGCGGUGAAAUUUUGGCGGUCAACUGUAAAAGGGGCUUUGAAACUGGGUUUCUUGGGUGUAGAUGUAGUAUGGGGGAUUUUGGGGGUAAGGGUGAAAUGCAUAGAUAUCACGAGGAACUCCGAUUGCGCAGGCAGCUUACUAAACUACUACUGACGCUCAGGCACGAAGGCGUGGGGAUCAAACAGGAUUAGAUACCCUGGUAGUCCACGCAGUAAACGAUGAUUACUAGCUGUUUGCGAUACAAUGUAAGCGGCUGAGCGAAGGCGUUAAGUAAUCCACCUGGGGAGUACGUUCGCAAGUAUGAAACUCAAAUGAAUUGGCGGGGG
rnacentral:rRNA from 1 species